rnacentral:lncRNA from 1 species
UUCCUCGCUUGUGCUCCCUGCCAUCUUAGCAAAUGCCGCCUUCUUCACCUCCACUUUUCCUUCGACUGCAUCGUUCCACCACCAGUCACCCUGAUGUCUGCCUGAAUAGCCCUUGGCUACCCCUCGCACGUCCCGUGCUACCUCCCUAACCAAGUUCGCCGUCUCUGACCACAUAUCGUCCGCUUCCCCAGAACUUCUCCAAGCUCCGCCCUCAGCUAACCUCCUCUCCAACUCCUGUGCUUUCUCCUCAGUCAAAACACCCCAUCUAAUC